rnacentral:piRNA from 1 species
UCUCUGCUUUCCGAUGGCUAACGAACCCUC